UUCCUGCUUUGCUGUAGUUACGAUUACUUGUUUUUGGUUACAGGUUGAUGGACCUACAUACCAACUGCUUCUGAAGAAAGACAAGGCUCACGACAUGGAUGUAAAUUCUGUGAAGUGGAGUUCCAUGGAAAGCCGUCUUCUUGCCUCUGCAAGCGAUGAUGGGAUGAUCAAGAUAUGGGAAUUGGUGUCUUUACCUUGAUACAAUGAACUGCAAUUAUAAUUCCGUGGUUAACUAUAUUACUAUGUCGUGUUGGAGAGAUCAUCCUUGUAUUUUUCAGCCUCUUGAGAGGACAUUUAUCAAUGUUUUGAAGUUUGUACUAUAAUUGUUAGUUGACACUCGAGGAUGGCAAUGUUAAAACUGGUACAUAAUUUCUUACUGAA